rnacentral:rRNA from 1 species
UACGUAGGGACCGAGCGUUGUCCGGAAUCAUUGGGCGUAAAGAGCGUGUAGGCGGCUAUUUAAGUCCUGCGUGAAAUCCUGCGGCUCAACCGCAGACGGUCGUGGGAAACUGGAUGGCUAGAGUGCGGGAGAGGAGAGUGGAAUUCCCGGUGUAGCGGUGAAAUGCGCAGAUAUCGGGAAGAACACCAAUGGCGAAGGCAGCUCUCUGGGACGGUACUGACGCUGAGACGCGAAAGCGUGGGGAGCGAACAGG